AUCCAGGUGACGAGUCCCAAAUAGGACGAAAUUCGAAUCCUGGAU
rnacentral:hammerhead_ribozyme from 1 species